UACGUAGGGACCAAGCGUUGUUCGGAUUUACUGGGCGUAAAGAGCUCGUAGGUGGUUUGUCGCGUUGUCCGUGAAAAACUCACAACUCAAUUGUGGGCGUGCGGGCGAUACGGGCAGGCUAGAGUUCGGUAGGGGAGACUGGAAUUCCUGGUGUAGCGGUGAAAUGCGCAGAUAUCAGGAGGAACACCGGUGGCGAAGGCGGGUCUCUGGGCCGAUACUGACGCUGAGGAGCGAAAGCGUGGGGAGCGAACAGG
rnacentral:rRNA from 1 species